rnacentral:misc_RNA from 1 species
AAGUCGUAACAAGGUUUCCGUAGGUGAACCUGCGGAAGGAUCAUUGUCGUGACCCUUAAACAAAACAGACCGUGAAUUUGUCACCAAUGCCGCUGGACCUCGGUCCGGCUUUGGCCCCCGACCUUCGUCUAGGAGGGGAGGGGCCACAACAGAACCCACGGCGCCGAAGGCGUCAAGGAACACUGAUAUUGCCAUGCGAGGGUGAGGGCUAGCUUGCUGGCCUAACCCCAAGCAGCGAUCAACCAUUAAUCCACACGACUCUCGGCAACGGAUAUCUCGGCUCUC